AAUGUGAGCAGCCGCCCGGCACAGCCAGAUUCAUACUGGCCGGUGGUUGCAGAGAGUGGGGUGAUUGAAUGGGUGAAACACGGGGGUUAUUCGUCGAAUGAAGAAGUAUUAGAAGAUACUCAAAAGGCCAAGUCUACAAGACCACGUGCCUUGAAACCGGAGUGUGAACGAGCGGCUG